AGAGAGAGAGAGAGAGAGAGAGAGAGAGAGAGAGAGAGAGAGAGAGAGAGAGAGAGAGAGAGAGAGAGAGAGAGAAUGAACUUAAACCAAUAAUGAUAAUAGUAAUAAUAAUAAUAAUAAUAAUAUAUUUUGAUAAUUUCUCAAAACAUGUGUCGAUUUGUCUGUGUUUGGAGUGCGUUUGCUGCCGCCGCCGCUGCUGCUGCUACACCCUCCUACACCCACACACUGCCAUCAGCUGUAGUAGUGUUUGUGUGUGUUUGUGUGUUUUAAGAGGAUAAAGAGUGUGUGUGUGUGUGUGUGUUUGUAAGCAUACAUAUAUAAAGACAAGUGUGUGUGUGUGUGUGUCAGUUAAUAAUAAGACAAUUUUGUACA